rnacentral:tRNA from 1 species
GGGGCUGUAGCAUAGUGGGUUAAGCAUCUGCCUGCAGUGUAGGCAUCCCACGUGGGCACCAGUUCAAGUCUUGGCGGCCCCA